rnacentral:rRNA from 1 species
ACGGGAGGCAGCAGUGAGGAAUAUUGGUCAAUGGACGAGAGUCUGAACCAGCCAGUAGCGUGCAGGAUGACGGCCCUCCGGGUUGUAAACUACUUUUAGUUGGGAAUAAAAGAAGGGACGUGUCCCUUAUUGUAUGUACCAUCAGAAAAAGGACCGGCUAAUUCCGUGCCAGCAGCCGCGGUAAUACGGAAGGUCCGGGCGUUAUCCGGAUUUAUUGGGUUUAAAGGGAGCGUAGGCGGGCUUUUAAGUCAGUGGUAAAAGCGUGUGGCUCAACCAUACCACGCCAUUGAAACUGGAAGUCUUGAGUGCACACAGGGAUGCUGGAAUUCGUCGUGUAGCGGUGAAAUGCUUAGAUAUGACGAAGAACUCCGAUCGCGAAGGCAGGUGUCCGGGGUGUAACUGACGCUGAGGCUCGAAAGUGCGGGUAUCAAACAGGAUUAGAUACCCUGGUA